CCCGACUUGGCCCGGCGCACCAACGGCGCCGGGCGGGCCUUGUGCGCCGGAAGCGCCGGCCUGGCCUUGUGCGCCCGUCGGCCCCGGAGGACCGGGCACGGCGAUCUCGCAACACACGGCAGUCGCGCAGUUUGCAGUCGUCUUUUUCAUCUUUUCGUGUUCAAAAGGCCUCUUUUUUUUCCUAGAGACGUGAACCGGUUCGUCCGGUGGCCCACACAAAACAAGGACGGCGGCAGACAUUUGCGGCACUAUUUAGGACCCGACCGACUGAAACCUACGGCUGAUGCGCCCGCAGAGGCGUGGCCGUCGUCAUCGUCGUCGAUCGGCCAGGCUCGAUCGCGGCAGGAGGGACCAACAAGGCGAUGUGCACCGCACUUUAGAUCGAGAAAAAAAAGAUGUUGCUGC
rnacentral:lncRNA from 1 species